CAGCCAGUGAAGCAUGGAGUGCGCUUGCUCUAACAAAACUAAAUUGCAGCAGAUCGGAAAUGGAAGCUCUCCCAGGCAGUAUAUGUAAAUACAACUGAUCGAUCAAGUUGGUAUCAGUUCAUGACGCAAGGUGGCCCGGUCAAGGCUGGAGUGCCUUUGGAUGUUUCCAAAUUCGUAUACAAGCAUUAACAGCAGCAGAUCAGAAGUGAGGAGUGGAAAGAAGAAGAGCUGGCAGCAUAAACAUCGUUACCCAUAAAAGUAUCAUGUCAGUUGGAGCUGCAAGGCGGCCCUCGCAGGAAAUAUGUGUGAGGAUUUACCUUGUGGCAAACACCUGUUGCAACUUCCGCUUGCCGCUGCGCGCUGUCAGAGCUUUUUCGUUAAUCAAACACAGAAAUGUAAUUUAUUAAAACGCCCAAAGGACUAAGGAAGCAGGCAGCAACAUGGCCGAAACAUUCAUUCUACCAAAUGCGAUGGGAUUAGUUUUAUCCAGUUAAAGAUGCUUGCCAGCCUGCGACAUUAGUCGAGACGUGAUCUCAUUGAUUGGGCCAGCCUAAAACAGGAAUCAGCCUGAGAUUUUGACUGCUUCAGUUGGCGCCCAUCUGCUGGCUCAGAUUUGAUGGCAUAAAUCUACACGGUACACAAUAGGUUGAGCAAAGGGAAAGAACGAACUCUGCAGUGCUGAUGAUUAAAUACACUUUCAGACUGACAGUAAUGGAAUUAUAUGAAUAACAACCUUCCUGGGACAAAGCAAACCCUUAGAUAAUUAUUUCUAUGAUAAAUGUUGACUACUGGUAAACGGCUAUUUCUGAUCAAAAAUCAAUAUAAAGUGAUUUCGUGACAAAAACUGCAAUACCCUACGUUAGGGUAUACAAACACAUAAGCUACGGCAAGCAAAUUUAAAAUCGGAAGAGAACAAGAGUAAGAUGUGAAAGUAGCAUUAGGGUUGGGGAUAAGCAGUACUGCCGACACAUACAAGUACUCGUACUUGUGUAAGCGAGUAUUUUAGCAAAACCUCAUGACAACGCACAGGUUGUGGUGGGAGUCAUGCCUUAAGGCAAACUAACAAGCAACCAAAAGCAGUGCCUCAAUCCAAGGCUGAGUCUAACUAACAGCAACAACAACAAAAGCACCUACAAAAACAAUAAUGGCUGGCUACAGAAGGCAUCUGAAAUUCUCUGGCUUAUCAGCGGGCCAAUGCCGGAAGCUGUGAAAAUAUUCAUACAUAUUUACACGUCUCGGCGCUGGUAGGGAUGCUGCCCCAUUGUGUGGCAAGUUGGUGACGCUCUGCGUAUCGUGCUCUCAUCAAAUUACGUAUUCAGCAGACAGUCUGUCUGACAGACUGUCAGACAAGCAAAACAAAUAAACGACUAAUAAAAAUUCCUUUGGCAUCAAAUUUGCCUGCACUUUGUAUAGUUAGGCAGCAUCCUGUCACACUGACAGCACUUGUAGUGUAUUCAGCAUGUUUACUUAAUUGGUUUACUUUACCGAUCAACAAAUUGCUUUACAUACUACCGUUUGUUUGCCAACAAUUAAACUAGUUAGUCAACAA